UACUGAUUAGUGGCUACUGGCUAGUUUUGAACUUUUUGGUUUACAGACAUUUUGUAAUGUUCCCGAAUUAAUUAAUAUCUCAUUUAAUUAAUUUAUAAAUCAUAUCUUAAUUCGUGGUAAUGUCUAUACUCUAUUGUCUAACUCACGUCUCAUCGUUGAAUAGUUCAAACACGACACACAUUUUCAAGGAAGAAAUUUGAGUUUAAGAACGUUCAAGAAGUUACAUGUGCAAUAUACAAGCGAUACGUAUCGGAUCCAGACUUCGUUACGAGCCGUUGACACAAAUACACAAUGAAUCAUAUCAUGGUUUUCAAAACUGUAAUAUAAUAAUAUGAUGUUGGUACCUACGAAGAACUAGGAAGUCGAGCCAAUGUAUUGAAAAUUGUUGAGAAGUUGAUUUUCUUUAAGACAAUUCUACAGACCAAGUAUACAUUAUAAACAUUAAUAUUCAAGUGAAUAAUAAAAUUUAAAGGUAUUAUACUGAGGAACCAGUAUCCAAUUUUAAUAGCACGGAGCAUCUGAACAUAUUUAAAUUUCAAAGAACACAUAACAAGUUUACUAAUUCAGUGUUCUGACAAUUGGAUGUGAUUCAUUUUGGAACAUAGCUGUCAGCAAAAGAGGUUUUCCAAGUUCCAGAGAAACUAGGAUGUCAAUGUAUAACAUGGACUACUCAAUUAUGUUUUCUUCGGUUCAUACAUAUACUUCAUCAUUACCAGUUUCAGAUAGAUGAAAUUAAACAACUGAAUAGUGAUUUUAUCAUUUUUGAAAUUAAUUAUGAUUAUGAGGAAUGAAACAUUAAAUUAUUAUUAAGAUUGUUAAAAAGAAACU